GGUGGCUCAGUGGUAGAGUGCUUGCCUUGCAUGCAUGAGGCAUUGGGUUCGAUUCCUCAGCACCA
rnacentral:tRNA from 1 species